UACGGAGGGGGCUAGCGUUGUUCGGAAUUACUGGGCGUAAAGCGCGCGUAGGCGGACCUGCAAGUCGGGGGUGAAAGCCCGAGGCUCAACCUCGGAACUGCCUUCGAUACUGCGGGUCUCGAGUCCGGGAGAGGUAAGUGGAAUUCCGAGUGUAGAGGUGAAAUUCGUAGAUAUUCGGAAGAACACCAGUGGCGAAGGCGACUUACUGGACACAUAUUGACGCUGAGGUGCGAAAGCGUGGGGAGCAAACAGG
rnacentral:rRNA from 1 species